rnacentral:rRNA from 1 species
UCAAUAAGCGGAGGAAAAGAAACUAACAAGGAUUCCCCUAGUAACUGCGAGUGAAGCGGGAAGAGCUCAAAUUUAAAAUCUGGUAGUCUUUGGCUGCCCGAGUUGUAAUCUAGAGAAGCGUUAUCCGCGCUGGACCGUGUAUAAGUCUCCUGGAAUGGAGCGUCAUAGAGGGUGAGAAUCCCGUCUUUGACACGGACUACCAGGGCUUUGUGAUGCGCUCUCAAAGAGUCGAGUUGUUUGGGAAUGCAGCUCUAAAUGGGUGGUAAAUUCCAUCUAAAGCUAAAUAUUGGCGAGAGACCGAUAGCGAACAAGUACCGUGAGGGAAAGAUGAAAAGAACUUUGGAAAGAGAGUUAAACAGUACGUGAAAUUGUUGAAAGGGAAACGCUUGAAGUCAGUCACGUUGGCUAGGAAUCAGCCUUGCUUUUGCUUGGUGUAUUUCCUGGUUUUAACGGGUCAGCAUCAAUUUUGACCGGUGGAAAAAGGUCGAGGGAAUGUGGCAUCUUAGGAUGUGUUAUAGCCCUUGGUCGUAUACAUCGGUUGGGAUUGAGGAACUCAGCACGCCGAAAGGUCGGGUUUUCUAACCACGUUCGUGCUUAGGAUGCUGGCAUAAUGGCUUUAAUCGACCCGUCUUGAAACACGGACCAAGGAGUCUAACAUGCCUGCGAGUGUUUGGGUGGAAAACCCGAGCGCGUAAUGAAAGUGAAAGUUGAGAUCCCUGUCGUGGGGAGCAUCGACGCCCGGACCAGACCUUUUGUGACGGAUCCGCGGUAGAGCAUGUAUGUUGGGACCCGAAAGAUGGUGAACUAUGCCUGAAUAGGGUGAAGC